rnacentral:rRNA from 1 species
UCGAUGAAGAACGCAGCGAAAUGCGAUAAGUAAUGUGAAUUGCAGAAUUCAGUGAAUCAUCGAAUCUUUGAACGCACCUUGCGCUCCUUGGUAUUCCGAGGAGCAUGCCUGUUUGAGUGUCAUUAAUAUAUAUAUCAACCUUCUCUUGUUUGAGUGGUUUGGAUGUGGGGGUUUGCUGGCUUCUUAAAAGGGUUCAGCUCCUCUGAAAUGCAUUAGCAGAACAACCUGUUCAUUGGCGUGAUAACUAUCUAUGCUAUUGAAUAUCAGGGGGCAGUUCAGCUUUCUAACAGUCCUUGGACAAUUUAUCAUUUAUGUGACCUCAAAUCAGGUAGGACUACCCGCUGAACUUAA